UUUUGAGCAUAAUCGCCCACCAACAUUAGGUUUUAAAAUGAGAACCUACAUGUUUUAAUGCAGAUACCUACCUAUUGAAAUGAUUUAUAUAUGUAUUUUGUAUGUAUUAUUCUUGAUUAUUUAAGUUCAACCAGAUUCGUGCUAAAGUAAUCAUUAAAUUAUAUCAUUUAUUAUAAUUUUAGGUGUUUGUCCGUUAGCUGGUGACUCUAUUUACACGGAUAGAACUUUUAUUGGAAAGCAUAUUAUGCCAAAACUCGAAAUUCGUUUAAGUUAUAGAUUGAUAGACGUGUCUAGUCUAAAAUAGUUGUUUAAGAUAAGUUGUAUACAUUUAAGAAGAAAAACGAGCACCGAAACAAAUCCAACAAUGAACAACGAACACAAAAUUGUAUGGUUUGAUGGUGAGGUGUUUGUCCGUUAGCUGGUGACUCUAUUUACACGGAUAGAACUUUUAUUGGAAAGCAUAUUAUGCCAAAACUCGAAAUUCGUUUAAGUUAUAGAUUGAUAGACGUGUCUACUCUAAAAUAGUUGUUUAAGAUAAGUUGUAUACAUUUAAGAAGAAAAACGAGCACCGAAACCAAUCCAACAAUGAACAACGAACACAAAAUUGUAUGGUUUAAUGGUGAGGUUUGUAAUUAUUAUUAACUCUGCUUAAAUUAAUCAAAUAUUAACAUAUACAUGGGCAUUUUUUGAGCAUAAUCGCCCACCAACAUUAGGUUUUCAAAUGAGAACCUACAUGUUUUAAUGCAGAUACCUACCUAUUGAAAUGAUUUAUAUAUGUAUUUUGUAUGUAUUAUUCUUGAUUA